rnacentral:lncRNA from 1 species
GAAUGCAUUACUUGCACUAACAUUCGGGAAAUCCAAUGAACACAAAAAACAUUAGAAUUAUUCCGAUACCUCAGGCGAAUGGCUCUACAUGGAAAAUCUUAUGUAAUUGGACUUACAACCAGCAAGUAGAUGAAAUGAACAGAAUACAAAUACCCGUUGUACUAUACACAAAUAACAUGGAAACACAGAUGAAAUCGAACUUAUGAUUGAAGCUACUUUGUAAGUUGUACUGAUCAGUACUUUGUAAAAAAAAAUCUAAACUUGUCAUAUCCUCGAGUUUGAACUGAUGUAAAUAAUUUUUGCCAAAUUGCUCCAGGUUUCUGUAUGGUACGCACACCACCUUGAUGAGCCAAUGUACAAGUUCAUAUCACUUGAACUAAUUGGAGAAUAAUAUGCGAGCUUAUAGCAUUUGAUCACUUGAACUUAUAGCAAUAGAAACAAGAAAUGUGUACGGCCUCCGACCUGUGGAAAUUAUAAGAAAUUUGUAAAUACUAGUACCGCAACCAACAUUUAUAAAUACUAGUGAACUUGAACUUAUGGUCUCUCGAGAUCUGAUCUGAUUGUGUUACAAGCAUACACACAAAAAUAUUUAGAAGAAAAUGGCUAUAUCUCUGAUGCAAACUUAAUUUUAGUAGCAAAUGUUUCAUCUUUUGACACAUCAAAACCACUAGCUACAAUUUUUUUGCUUCCAAUCUUUGAACUGAGCAAAAUUAUGAUUUUUUUUGCUCCCAACCUCCUGCAUAUAUAUUUUCGAAGUGAUAUUUUUCUUUCAUUGAACUGAUCUAAUUUUUGUAUUUCAAUUGUUUUAAAAUAUGUAGUUGAACUUAUAGAUUUCCAUUUGUAAUUUUUGCUCUUAUAAAUAUCCUGUGUGUUUGUUUACGUACUAAAAACAGAAUAAAUACUGAACUUAACGGAAACAACAAUACUUCCUACUUGUCCCAAGACACUCGUUGAACGUGUGGCGGCGUGCACCAGUGCCGGCAAAAGCUCGUACGUGAAGGAGCGUGGCAGGAGGUGCUCGGACAGAUAAGGGAGGAAUAGUUGGACUGAUGUGAGCCCCAUACUUGGAUGAGGACCGGAGGAAGUAGUCCGUGUGGGCGGCGGGGGCUGCCUGUAGAACUGAGCUUCUUUUUUCUUGCAAUCCGUCCAACGUCCCUCGUGCUGCAGUACAGAGAGAAACAAAUUAAGAAGUAGCAAUCAUAUCAUCAUAGACAAAAGAACUUGCAGCUGCUGCUAUGUGUAUGGAUUGCAUGUUUUUAUUCUCCUCAUUGCCUGCAUUGUGUACUUCACCCUUAGCCUGCUUGGUAUCCUUUGUGCUAGUUCAGUAGCCGCUCGCCGCGCACACCUGCUCGAUGGGAAUUUACACAAACUGUUUGGAAUUAGGAAUUGAACUUUAGUAAAAUUAGAAACUGAACUGAAAAAGAAUUAGAAAUUGAAGGAAAAUAAAAUAAGAAACCGAGUGACCUAAAAAUAAGAAUGAACUGAACUAAAAUUGGAAAUUGAACUGAAUAAAAAUUAAGAUGUUGUCGAUGUAAGAAGGGCUUCUCUUUUGCAGGUAGCUUAUGCGCCGUCGGCUAGCUUUGGUUGUAAGCGUCUGUGUGGUUUACACCUACCUACUAAGGAUGAUCAAACACUAUAUUUGUGAGUUCUAGAAAUCGGGAGGAAAUCAUCUCUCAUAAAAGAAAGAAACAGAUAUGUUGAGACUUGGUUUUCAGUUCACACCACUUAAGCUAGUCGUACUGAAGUACUUGUGUUCCUCUCACUCACUUAUACUACAUGUUGAUGCUUGCCAUCUCGUUCGUUACAUACUACAUAGGCAGAGGCUACGCGUACUGUGGUCAAAUCAAAUAAUACAAGACUCUAUACGUAUCAGACCUGACUGAGGAUGCUGCCGGUCUUCUUGUCUUUGUCAGUGAAGAGGCAGUCCUCUGCAGUACGCACGCAACAAAUUAAAAUAAGAAAUGAAACUACACUGAACUAAAAAUAAGCUACAAAUUUCAAUCAAUUCGAUAUUCAUCAGCUACAAAUUAAAAUAAGAGUCCUUGGUACGAGGAAUCAGCUACAAAUUUCAAUCAAUUCGAUAUUUAUCAGUACUAGCACGGCUAGAAAAGUCCAGAACUGUAGCAGCUGUCACUGAACUUGCAUAUUUUUUUCUUUGAGCUUAUUUAGGAGAUAUAUCAAAUUUCAUAGGCAUUUUGACAAGAACUUAUAGAGCAUCAUUUGUUUUUUACACAGAAGCAGCAUGAGAUUGAAUGAUAGCAGCAUCAACACAAGAUUCUCCUCUUUUUUUGUACAGGAUGCUUAAAAAAACAAGCACAUAGGUGUAGCUAAAAGCACACAGAUAGUAGUGUUACUUACAGGAAGAUAUUCCUCUUCUCUAUACCUAUUCCAAGUGCCUCAAGUUGUUCUCCCGUCGGUAUAGGCGCGUACUGACGGUUCGGAUCAUAGUUCGUCUCUCCAAACAUAGGAACAUAACUACAGGGUAAGCAUGCCUCGUAUUAGGACUCGAGGAUGCACAUGAUACUAGCAAAGAAAAAACAUAGCAUUGCAGGUACCGGCGUGGAAUGAAGUUGCUGGACAGACCGGUAAGGCCAAUGUAUUCAUCCUACUACUAUUUUCUGUCCUCCUAGCUGAAGGUAGUUGGUGUAGACCACCCCGACUGAAACCUUGUUCGCAUUUCACCGUCCAUGACGUGGCUGCUACUCCUACACUGCCUCUGCCAAUUUUUUGAUUAACUCCCAUUUGAAGAAACAUGUUUUAACAAUAUUUUUCCCACCAAAAGUGUGAAGAAAUGCUACCUAGUUUUCACAUAUAUUUGCUAGAACAAGUUAAGAAGUACAAG